CUGAGAUGAAUUCCAACACACAUCAAUUUGCUGCUUUGUACUGGACACGUGUGUGGCUGCAGUAGAAGGGUGAAAAGCAUUAUCAUCAGAUAUUUGCUUCAUCUUUCUUAAACUUUGAACUUGUUCCCUCCCUUUCAUCUUCUUCUUCUCUUUAUGAAAUGAAUAGUGGUUUGUCGGAGAUGGCGGUGAAUUGAGAGUAUUUUCAACAACCCCUCAAGUUGGAGGGGAGAGGAAAGAGACCCAACUUGGGAAGAAUGGUGUGAUGAGAAGGCCCAGAGAGAGAUUUCAUAAAUAGAUCGGCGAGUUGAAAUGAAGCCGGAACAUACGAAAGAGAGAUUAGUCCAGCAAAAAAUUAUAAUCUAACUCCACAUGCUUGGUAUGUUCGUGAAAAACGGGAUUCCGAGCUAUGUGUAUUGCCGAUUGACUAUCGGAAUGAACAGGAAUAGGAAGAUCUGGUGGAUUUCCAAGGUCUAGAAGAAAACGAUUGAGCCAAGUCAGCUCUGCUACUACUCGCCUCAUGGAUCGAUAUUCGGCCUCCGCCGAUGACAAAGAAACAGAGAGUUGCUUUUUGGAUUUCCAUGACAUGGGUGACCCUCCAAGAGUAAUAAAGUAUCCACUUAUCAAUCUACGAGUAUCCACACAAUAACCCUAAUCCGCAUCGCAAAAGGCAAACAAUUUCAAAGAAGGGUCUUUUGACAGAAACAGUCCCUGACUAGGAUUGAUGAGGAGAUAUCGAAGCACACGUAGAGCAGCAAAAAAAUGACUAGUACGUAGCUCUUUCAUGAACUGAGAGAGAUGUUAGACGGAAAAACAUAUGUCAGGCCGGUUGUGAGUAAGGGUCUAAGGGUGAAGUGAUGACUGGAAGAUGAGAACAAUCAUAUUCGGACAGCAGCUCCAUAGUGUACUUUGUUGAGUGAUGAUCAUCCUAUGAUCUUCUCGGAGGAUUUCAAGACCUAAGAAAUAAUGUGAUAGAGUUUUGCCCCAUUAGGCUGGCCAAAACGAUCCUUAAGAUUUUUCCAAAGAGCUUCUGUUGUUUUUGAAUAGAUGACACUAUCAGCAAUCUCUUUUGACAGAGAGUUGAGUAACCAUAAGGUUACCAUGUUGUUGGUUCUGUCCCAAAAUUUGAAGUCUGGUGAAUCAGAUUCUGGUGCUUUGCAAGUUCCAUCGAUGAAGACCAACUUGUUCUUAGCGGAUAGGACAAUGAGGUUGGACCUUCUCCAACCACCAUAGCCUUUAUCUUCAAAGAUGGAAUUCACAAGAGACAUCCCAGGAGAAUCUGAAGGAUGAAAAAAAAAUAGGGAUUGCUUGAAUCCAUUAAUCUGGAUCCAACAGUCUCUGAAGAAGAAGCAGAAUUUGUUCCCAUUGAUCUAGGAAAUCAACCUACUUCUCUGAUACCAUGAAGAAAAAACAAGAAAUUUGAAGAGUAAAGAAAUUAAAGAAAAAAGAAAAAAACACAGAUGAUUGAAAAUUCUCUCUUUUCUGAUGAUUCUCAUUGACUACUUGUUCCCUUAUUUAUACAAGUAUUUACAAAUAAACACAAUGAUAAAGAAAUAUAACGUUUUGUA